rnacentral:pre_miRNA from 1 species
UGUAACAGCAACUCCAUGUGGAAGCUGUAUGUGUGUUCCAGUGGAAGUGCUGUUACCUG